GCAACAAGUGCAAAACUCUGUCUCAAAAAAAAAAAAAAAAAAAUUCCCAAUAGAUUUUAAUCUAAUUUUAUUGGAACAAUUCAGUCAUAUGUUUUUUCAUGCUAUGUAUGUGAGAGUUCCAUCAUUCAGAUACUAAAUAAAUGUCUACUGUACAUUUACUGUUCUCACUGAUGAUGCAUUAGAUAACCAUGCACAAAAUAAGCCUGGCUGUGGAAAUGCUUAUUUGUUGGAAGGGCGCUUGUUUGGAUCGAUGAUGAGAAUAAUUGUCUGAGGAUGCUGAGGGACUCAUUCCAGAUGUCAAUCUGAGGUCCAGAUGUGUGGCCCUCCACUAGGACAAAUAAGACUCUCAGAGCCUGGCUCUAUUUGGGGAUCCCUCAGUGACAACAGAGUACCCCUGUGAGCAUGCCUUUUCUGUCUCUCCUGAGAGGGCAUUAGCAUCCUGUCUUAGGAGUCAGUAUGCUCUUUAGUAUGCUUACUGACCGAAGACUCACUUUAUUUUGUUCAUUUUGAGCAGAGAAUUGUAGAUAGAUACAUAUAUGGGAAAUAUGUUCUUGAUUAACAAAUGAAAAAGUUUCAGUCAAGAAAGGUCAAGCAACUGUGAUGUAUAGUGAAGGAAGGGAACACUGCGUGCCUAUAUUAAAUAUUGACAAAGGAACCAAUUUUAGUGCCUUGUUAUUUUUACUGUUGAGUAUUUUCUGAGACCAUGUCUUUUUCUUCUAUUUUGUUUUGCUGAGGUAGAGGAGGGCUGGCAUGAGGUCCUCCACUUCAGAAAAUAGGGUUGCUGUGGGAGACCCGCCGCCUGCUGGCAAAGAAGAUGGUCGAUUCUUCUGAGCAAUGGAGGCCCUGCAGAGUCCUGCAGUCACUGUGGCCUGGUGUCCAUGGCGCACCCAAUGCUGGUGGAUGGCUCAAUAUGAGGCAAUUGCUGUGGGAGGUGUUGUGUAACUGCUGGAAGGAAGACACCCCAUUGUUCUGAGCAACGAAGGCCACAUGGAGUCCUGGAUUUUGUGUGGCCUGGCAUCCACGGUGCACCGCGAGCUGGCAGGUGACUCAAGACGAGUGGAUGAUCUGCACUCAUUGCUCAGUGGCACGGCUCUAUGGGGGCCGAAGGUCUUUAACGUCAUUGGCUCACCCACUGCCCGGCCUGUGGUGUCAAACGUCCUGCCUCUUCAAAUGUGCUUGGAUCGAUGAUGAGUCCCCCAAAAAAACAUUCCUUGGAAAAGCUGAACAAAAUGAGUGAGAACUCAUACCGUCGUUCUCAUCGGAUCUGAGGUCCAGCACGUUGGCUUCCCCAGGGACUGUAGGAGUGAGGGACAGCUUCCACUGAUUCCCAUAGGUUCCACCACCCAGGGCAUCCACAGGCCAAAGGCUUCCAUCACACAGAGGUUAGGAACAUUCCCUUUGUGUGAGGUACACAGGUGGGUGAGUCCUGGGGGGAGCGACUGUUCUGUGAUGGUGCGGUAGCCGUGGAAGGGAUGGAAAUAUUGCAGGCCUAGGGUAGUGUGUGCCUGAUGUUGGCUUGGUGAGCUCUUCGGAAGGGAGACCCAGUCCUCAUGGUGGGCAUCUCUGAGCAGAGGACUGAGUCCUUGUUUUCUUGCCGGGGAGAGCACAAGGCCCACGUCUCAGGCAGAUGUUGGUCCUGAUUUUUGGUUUGCUGAGGACAAGGGAGUGUGAAGGAUGAUGGGGGACAGUGUAUUAACAAAGGUUGUUGUGACAGAUAGCCAAAGCUGCUUUGGCCCUUUACCCAGCAUCCGGUCAUGGAGGCCCCCCAGCAGGGAUUUCUUCAUCCCCUGAACCGUGAGAUGCCCCUGGUGCCAUGGUGGAAGCCUGGACUGGAAGGUACCCCACAGAGGAGGCGGUAGGGGGCUCAUGUGGACAUGUGUGUCGUCAGCAUUGUUGGGCUGUUGUUCAGCAGUGAUGGGCUUCCCAUUGACUUCUCUAGUGGAUGACAAGUGGCCAGCAGUGAUCUUAGAGGGCAGGUCCUAGGGAAUAUGAGGGUCAGGCUCAUGCCCCUGGCCCUCAGUCACUUCUCGUCUUCCUGAUAUUGUAGUGGGCUCCACCAUUGUGCACAUCUUCCUGGAAAUGGUCUCUUGGCUUGCCAUUGCCGGGCAGCCCCACCUGCUGCAACUUGUAUGAGCAAGUGUGGCUCUGGAUUGUCUUUCCCACUUUGAAAGCAACUUCCAUCCUGAAGGAGUCCAGAGGGGGCAGUUAUCAUGGGGCGCCCGCCAUAUGCUGGCAACGAACAUGGUCAGUUCUUCUGAGCCACAAAGGCCCCCAAAGUCCUGGAGCUGGUGUGGCUUAGCAUCCACGGUGCGCCCCCUGCUGGUGGAUGGCUCAGGACGGGGCAGUUGCCAUGGGAGGCCCACCGCCUUCUGGAAGGAAGAUGGUCAAUUCUUUUGAGCCACAAAGGCCCUGCAGAGUCCUGGAGUCAGUGUGGCCUGGCUUCCUGGGUGCACCUUGUGCUGGUGGAUCGCUCAGGACGGGACAGUUGCCGUGAGAGGUCGCUGCCUGCUGUCAGGGAAGAUGGUCGAUGCUUCUGAGCAACAUAGGCCCACGUGGAUUCCGUGUGGCCUGGCAUCCACUGUGCACCCCGUGCUGGCGGGUGGCUCAAGACGGAGCAAUUGCCUUUAGAUGCCCACUUCCUGCCGGCACAGCAGAUGGUCAAUUCUUCUGAGCAAUGGAGUCCCCACUGAGUCAUGGAGUCGGUGUGGCCUGGCAUCCACGGUGCACCCUGUGCUGGUGGAUGGCUCAGGACGCAGCAGUUUGUCAUGAGAGGUCUACCGCUUGCUGGCAAGGAAGAUGGUCAAUUCUUCUGACCAACAGAGGCUGCCUUGAGUCCUUGAUUUGGUGUGGCCUGGCAUCUAUGGUGUACCCCAUGCUGGGGCAGUUGCCGUGGAAGGCCCGCAGCCUGCUGCAAGGAAGAUGGUUGAUGCUUACGAGCAACAAAGGCUCCACGGAGUCGUGAAGUCGGUGUGGCCUGGCAUCCACGGUGCACCCCGUGCUGGUGGAUGGCUCAGGACGGUGCAGUUUUCAUGGGAGGCAUGGCAUCUGCUGGAAGGAAGAUAGUUGAUUCUCCUGAGUAAUGAAGGCCACGCAGAGUCCUGGUUUCGGUUAUCCACAGUGCACCCUGUGCUGGUGGGUGGCUCAGGAUGCCAGGUUCUGGUCACAAAUAUGUGAAGCCGUAGACUAGCGGAUUUCAUAAGUACCACAGGAGUCUAGAUGACAUGGCCUUCCUGACCUGUGAACCUGUCUUUCUGAAGCACACUCAUUUCUUCUGCACCUUCCCAGUGUCAUUGGCAUGGAAGGAAGGCCCUUGUCCAAGAAAGAUGGUCUUCGUCUUGUGUGAUCUUUGAGAUGCCAUGAGGCCCCUGGAUACACAUGGUGUGGGCUCCUUUGGAGGCUUUUGGAUUUCUCCUGAAUGUGGCGUUGGUAUGAAAGGAAGGCCAGUGACCACAAGGGACGAUCUUGAUCUUGGGAGAUUUUUGGAGAUGGUGAAGUGCCUGUAAACAUGUGUGUCAUGGUCUCCUUCCGGCUGGUGGACACCUCAGGACGGUGGUGUUGGCAUGGAAGGAGGGCCUGUGUCUGCGAGGGAUGAUCAUCCUCUCAUGUGAUCCUUGGAGAUGCCAGGUAGCCCCUUGACACAUGUGGCAUGGACUCCUUCAGAGGCUUUUGGAUCCUUCAUGAAUGUGGCAUGGGCAUGCAAAGACAGACAGAGGCUGCAGGGAUGAACUUCAUCUUGGGGGAUCUCUGGAGAUGGCAGGGAACCCCUGGACACAUGUGGCAUGGGCUCCUUCGGGUGCCGGUGGAUCCCUUUAUAUGGUGGCCGUGAUGAAUUGGCCAGGCCCAUGUUGGUGAGGGACAAUCAUCAUCUCGUGCCAUUCUCAGAGAUGCCAGGAAGCUCCUGGACACACAUGGUGUAGGCUUCUUUGGAGGCUGUUGGAUCCCUCCUGAAUGUAAGCAGUUCCUUCCCAGUGCAUCCUGAUUUUCCUCAUUUGCAGAAACAAAGAUUGUGCAUGGAUCGAUGAUGACUUCCAUAUA